GAUGAAGAACGUAGCGAAAUGCGAUAAGUAAUGUGAAUUGCAGAAUUCAGUGAAUCAUCGAAUCUUUGAACGCACAUUGCGCCCCUUGGUAUUCCGAGGGGCAUGCCUGUUCGAGCGUCAUUAUAACCCCUCAAGCUCAGCUUGGUGUUGGGGCCUGCUGCACUGGCAGCCCUUAAAAUCAGUGGCGGCGCCAUCUGGCUCUAAGCGUAGUAAUUCUUCUCGCUAUGGAGUCCUGGUGGAUGCUUGCCAUCAACCCCCAACUUUUCUAUGGUUGACCUCGGAUCAGGUAGGGAUACCCGCUGAACUUAAGCAUAUCAAUAAGCGGAGGA
rnacentral:misc_RNA from 1 species